AAGCGACUAUUCGGGGAAACAAACUUAGUCUAGAUGCAUUAUCUGGUCUUCCAAAAGUUCUAUCACAGCAAUGCGAUGGUCAAGUUCUGCUUGCAUUGUCCAGUUUUGACCACUUUAAUUCGGGAAAAGCCCUGUCCUAAUAUAACACAUAUCUAUUUUUAUAAGUCACGUGGUAUUUCGAAAACGAGGCAGUGAGAAAACGUCAACAGAAACACGUGAAUUUUUAGAGAUGUCCGAUUCAUCAAGCAGUCAAAGCAGUAACACGAUAGAUUAUGAAUAUGCACAAGUCCAUACAUCCCCAAGGAGGGGGAGGGGAUUAAGGAGGAAGGGAGGAACCUGUGGACGGCUAAGGGGUCUCGGGGCAGACAGCAGUCCAAGGAUGGAGAGGGCGAGGUAGAGGAAGGGGGCCAAGGGGUGCACGUGGUACAGUUGCUAUGCUGCAGCAGGAGGAUCGGGCCAGGGUACUGACAUUGCAACAGCAAAGGAGAAGGGAUCUACAUGAACCUUGCGCUCCUAUCAUACAAAGCUAAUAAUCAUAUUUUUGUAAUAUUAGUAGUGUGAAUUUCUGUAUGCUACUGUUUUAUGAAUGUUAUCCACAAUUUACUUCAUCAUUCAAAUUAUUUUGACUAGUUGAUAAUCAAUUACAAAGUACUGUAUUAUUUCUUUUCAUAUCUUUUUUAUUUUGAUAUUUCUUUGGCAUGUACACAGACAAAAAGAACAGUAGACAUUUUACCAAAGCAUUCAGGAGACAAUUUAUACUAUUACUCACUGAAAGUGUUAAAUUUUACCAAAAAUGCACAGACCCUCUCACACAUCAAACAUACUUCCCAUAUGUGUAUGAACACCUAAUUUUUAACCAACCAAGUGAAUGGUAUGGUUAUAAGACCUGUUUCUCUAGGUAGGUAUUUACAUUACACAUGGGGGUAUUUCAUUUUAGUUCACAGAAUAUUGAAAAAAUAUGCAACUAGACACUUGAUUAACACAUUUAUCAGAAUGAACCAUCUAUGAACACAAUGUUAUUAUAAGUUAAUAACAACUACACACAAUGUUAGUACACACGUGCACCUCAAACACAUUCUCACAAGUGAACACUUCGUAUACACACUGAUAUAAUUGAACACUUCCUACGAACUGAUAGUGAACACUUCCUACACACACUGAUAAUUGAACACUUCCUACAAACUGAUAGUGAAUAAUUCCUACACACACUGAUAAUUGAACACUUCCUACACACACUGAUAAGUGAACACUUCCUACACACAAUGUUGAAAGAACACCUGCAUUUACUGUCAAGUGAACACUCUCAAACACACACUAGUACUGAAAUGUAAACACCUGCAAUACACCAUUAAGUGAACACCUACCUCCUACAUGUUCUGAAAUUGAACACCACAUUUACACAAUACUUACUUCCACAAACAA